rnacentral:rRNA from 1 species
CGGAGUGAGGAAUACCAGCGAGAAAUCGUUGACAAUUCCGCAUAGGCUCUCGUUUCCGCGAGGAGGGAGAGCAAAGCCUGGUUCGUGAGAGCGAGCGAGGUGCCCUGGGAGGAGCCUGCGUCCGAUUAGCUAGUUGGGGGGGUGAUGGCCUCCCAAGGCGACGAUCGGUAGCUGGUCUGAGAGGACGAUCAGCCACACUGGGAUUGAGAACGGCCCAG